rnacentral:lncRNA from 1 species
GCUGGAUCUUGGUGCUUUAAGUGACAUCACCGGAACACUAUUGUUCUUCAUCUAUUGGACUCUGCUUUUUAUUGUGUUGGCUGCAUCCUCAGGCAUAUUCUCCCACUAUAGUAAGAGUCUUCCUCACAUUUCCAGAUUUACAUCACAAAGAGAGUUUGUCCUUCACCAUAGUUCCAGAAGUUCCAGAAUUUUCGUUGGACUCGGGCUGACUUCAGUCACAUCCCAAAAACACCCACUGUGUGAUGGCACACACAGUGUUUCAGUUGGCCGGACCGAGGUAAAAUGAUCUCCUCUAGAACCAAAGGUGGAGUCAGAACACAGAGUGAGGAGAGACUGAUUUCUAAAGGAAAACCAAGAGUCAGCUACAGAAUAGAAGGGAAAUGGAUUUUGGAAGCCCUGAAAAAACAGGAAAUUGUUUAUAAAGAUUAGCAGACAAUACAUCAAAGGGGAAGUUCUAUAGACAUUUCCCAAGCUUUUAAUUCACAGAAACAUGAAUCAAUGCCAUUUGCUCAUCAUAAUUCAUAGAAGCUUGUACUAUCUCCAUGUGUUCUUAUAGCAAUUUUUGCCAUAAUGUUUAGAUAUGGUAACUAGAAUUUCUGAGUCAUAGUGCUUUACACUAAUAUGUAUAAAACAUUAUGUUUUGAAAAUAAAAUAUUUUCUAGUGUUUAUUCUGACAGGGCAUUCUAAAAACUAGAAUAAUGAACUCAGAGCCUCAUUUUUAUUGGUUCCUGCCCAAUAACAAAUUCUUGACCGGAUUGAAUUUCGCAUUUGAAUUCUCUUCACUCUUGUUGGACUGAUAAGACCUCAGUGUUGAUGCUUAUCAAUUCAACUAAUAAAAAGCUUCCUAAAGAUGUGAUGGCACACAUAUGAGACUACAGGGAGUUUAUUUUUUGGUGUGAAUUAAAGAUUUGUGGCUUAUUGUUUUAUAAUAAGUUACUACAACAACAUUAAGGAAAAGCCAAGUAGCAUGUUCAAUAGUCUGGAUCAUUUCUACCAUCAUUUCAUUAUCAUCCUGUUGAUUUCCUCUCUCUUCCCUAGAAUGCACUGGGCAGAGGGACAAUAGAAUUUCCACCAGGUGACCUUUUGGAAUAGCAUUCCAUAGUUUAGCACUCCUGAAAUUUUCUCUAAAGGUAAUUGUAGAAGUAAAAAUACUGGUUUUCUCUCAGAAAAUCUGGGUCUAAGUCUUAUUUCUC